GAUGAACGCUGGCGGCGUGCUUAACACAUGCAAGUCGAACGGAAAGGCCCAAGCUUGCUUGGGUACUCGAGUGGCGAACGGGUGAGUAACACGUGGGUGAUCUGCCCUGCACUUCGGGAUAAGCCUGGGAAACUGGGUCUAGUACCGGAUAGGACGAUGGUUUGGAUGCCAUUGUGGAAAGUUUUUUCGGUGUGGGAUGAGCUCGCGGCCUAUCAGCUUGUUGGUGGGGUAAUGGCCUACCAAGGCGUCGACGGGUAGCCGGCCUGAGAGGGUGUACGGCCACAUUGGGACUGAGAUACGGCCCAGACUCCUACGGGAGGCAGCAGUGGGGAAUAUUGCACAAUGGGCGCAAGCCUGAUGCAGCGACGCCGCGUGGGGGAUGACGGCCUUCGGGUUGUAAACUCCUUUCGCUAGGGACGAAGCGUUUUUGUGACGGUACCUGGAGAAGAAGCACCGGCUAACUACGUG
rnacentral:rRNA from 1 species